rnacentral:rRNA from 1 species
GUGUCAGCCGCCGCGGUAAUACGGAGGGUGCAAGCGUUAUCCGGAUUUAUUGGGUUUAAAGGGUCCGUAGGCGGACUGGUAAGUCAGCGGUGAAAUCUCAUAGCUUAACUAUGAAACUGCCGUUGAUACUGUCAGUCUUGAGUGUAGUUGAAGUAGCUGGAAUGAGUAGUGUAGCGGUGAAAUGCAUAGAUAUUACUCAGAACACCAAUUGCGAAGGCAGGUUACUAAGUUACAACUGACGCUGAUGGACGAAAGCGUGGGUAGCGAACAGGAUUAGAUACCCUGGUAGUCCACGCCGUAAACGAUGCUUACUCGUUUUUGGGAUGCAAAUUUCAGAGACUAAGCGAAAGUGAUAAGUAAGCCACCUGGGGAGUACGUUCGCAAGAAUGAAACUUAAAUGAAUUGACGG